GGGUUGUGAGGUUAAGCGACUAAGCGUACACGGUGGAUGCCCUGGCAGUCAGAGGCGAUGAAGGGCGUGCUAAUCUGCGAUAAGCGCCGGUAAGGUGAUAUGAACCGUUAUAACCGGCGAUACCCGAAUGGGGAAACCCAGUGUGACUCGUCACACUAUCAUUAACUGAAUCCAUAGGUUAAUGAGGCGAACCGGGGGAACUGAAACAUCUAAGUACCCCGAGGAAAAGAAAUCAACCGAGAUUCCCCCAGUAGCGGCGAGCGAACGGGGAGGAGCCCAGAGCCUGAAUCAGCAUGUGUGUUAGUGGAAGCGUCUGGAAAGGCGCGCGAUACAGGGUGACAGCCCCGUACACAAAAGCGCAUGUGCUGUGAGCUCGAUGAGUAGGGCGGGACACGUGAUAUCCUGUCUGAAUAUGGGGGGACCAUCCUCCAAGGCUAAAUACUCCUGACUGACCGAUAGUGAACCAGUACCGUGAGGGAAAGGCGAAAAGAACCCCGGCGAGGGGAGUGAAAAAGAACCUGAAACCGUGUACGUACAAGCAGUGGGAGCACCCUUGGGUGUGACUGCGUACCUUUUGUAUAAUGGGUCAGCGACUUAUAUUCUGUAGCAAGGUUAACCGUAUAGGGGAGCCGAAGGGAAACCGAGUCUUAACCGGGCGUUAAGUUGCAGGGUAUAGACCCGAAACCCGGUGAUCUAGCCAUGGGCAGGUUGAAGGUUGGGUAACACUAACUGGAGGACCGAACCGACUAAUGUUGAAAAAUUAGCGGAUGACCUGUGGCUGGGGGUGAAAGGCCAAUCAAACCGGGAGAUAGCUGGUUCUCCCCGAAAGCUAUUUAGGUAGCGCCUCGUGAAUUCAUCUCCGGGGGUAGAGCACUGUUUCGGCUAGGGGGCCAUCCCGGCUUACCAACCCGAUGCAAACUGCGAAUACCGGAGAAUGUUAUCACGGGAGACACACGGCGGGUGCUAACGUCCGUCGUGAAGAGGGAAACAACCCAGACCGCCAGCUAAGGUCCCAAAGUCAUGGUUAAGUGGGAAACGAUGUGGGAAGGCCCAGACAGCCAGGAUGUUGGCUUAGAAGCAGCCAUCAUUUAAAGAAAGCGUAAUAGCUCACUGGUCGAGUCGGCCUGCGCGGAAGAUGUAACGGGGCUAAACCAUGCACCGAAGCUGCGGCAGCGA
rnacentral:rRNA from 2 species